GUAGAUGGCAAGCGUUGUCCGGAUUUACUGGGUGUAAAGGGCGUGCAGCCGGGUCUGCAAGUCAGAUGUGAAAUCCAUGGGCUCAACCCAUGAACUGCAUUUGAAACUGUAGAUCUUGAGUGUCGGAGGGGCAAUCGGAAUUCCUAGUGUAGCGGUGAAAUGCGUAGAUAUUAGGAGGAACACCAGUGGCGAAGGCGGAUUGCUGGACGAUAACUGACGGUGAGGCG
rnacentral:rRNA from 1 species